ACGAGUUAGGGUCUUCUAGGCCCGACCUCCCAACCCCAUGUUUACUGAACCUAUGUUGCUUCGGCGGGCCCGUCUCAUGACCGCCGGAGGACCGUAAGACGUCCUCUGGCCCGCGCCUGCCGGUGGCCAAACUCUUACAAAUUCUGAUUAAACCGUGUUAACUGUCUGAGUCCAUUCUUAAUUAAAGCA
rnacentral:misc_RNA from 1 species